UGCCAGCAGCCGCGGUAAUUCCAGCUCCAAUAGCGUAUAUUAAAGUUGUUGCAGUUAGAAAGCUCGUAGUUGGAUCUCGGGUCCGGGCUCGCGGUCCACCUCGCGGUGGUUACUGCCCGUCCCGACCUACCUACCGGUUUUCCCUUGGUGCUCUUAACUGAGUGUCUCGGGUGGCCGGAACGUUUACUUUGAAAAAAUUAGAGUGUUCAAAGCAGGCGCUUCGCCUGAAUAAUGUUGCAUGGAAUAAUGGAAUAGGACCUCGGUUCUAUUUUGUUGGUUUUCGGAACUCGAGGUAAUGAUUAAGAGGGACAGACGGGGGCAUUCGUAUGAUGGUGUUAGAGGUGAAAUUCUUGGAUCGCCGUCAGACGAACUACUGCGAAAGCAUUUGCCAAGAAUGUUUUCAUUAAUCAAGAACGAAAGUCAGAGGUUCGAAGACGAUCAGAUACCGUCCUAGUUCUGACCAUAAACGAUGCCGACUAGCGAUCCGCCGGAGUUGUUUCAAUGACCCGGCGGGCAGCUUCCGGGAAACCAAAGUCUUUGGGUUCCGGGGGAAGUAUGGUUGCAAAGCUGAAACUUAAAGGAAUUGACGGAAGGGCACCACCAGGAGUGGAGCCUGCGGCUUAAUUUGACUCAACACGGGAAAGCUUACCCGGCCCGGACACCGUAAGGAUUGACAGAUUGAGAGCUCUUUCUUGAUUCGGUGGGUGGUGGUGCAUGGCCGUUCUUAGUUGGUGGAGCGAUUUGUCUGGUUAAUUCCGAUAACGAACGAGACUCUAGCCUAUUAAAUAGUCCGCCGAUUUCGAUCUGUCGGCGUUAACUUCUUAGAGGGACAAGUGGCUUUUAGCCACGCGAGAUUGAGCAAUAACAGGUCUGUGAU
rnacentral:rRNA from 1 species